AUCAAUCACUUUCAAGAUAUUGGCAGCAGCUAUGAGAGCUGCCUGUACUUUAGCCCUGAGCGGCGGACCAAUCCGGCGGAACCAAAUUACACUUCUACAUUGCGAUUAGCUAAACUCGAGCUCCAAUUGCAGCGCUCUGGGUGGGGCCUUUAAAAUACUUUACUGUAAAAGCAUCGUUGCGAUUUUUCGACUGUGAAGGAAUGGGCGCGCAGUAGGUCUUUUUUGGCUUGUGGAGUAGGCGAGCAAGGAGAUAGAGCGAGUUAGGAUCUUGAAAUGUGAAGCUGAAAAAACAUUUUUUUUUUUGAAAUUCUGCUCAAAAGAAGAAUGAUAAGGAAGCACUUUCCUUUGCAUGCCGGGCAGAUCUUGAACUAACAAAGAUUGCAAGAUAUAAUUGAAGAUUGUAUCUCAAGAACUUGCUUAAUAUUUAAGUAUGCACCUUUAGAUCUUAUCUUUUUUAAUUUUGAAAGUUCAAUAACACAGAAGAGGGAAAUUAUAGUAAGAUAUAUUCUACUAUGUAUUUGAAAUAAUUUCUCUCAAGUGGAUGCUAUGCUUAGAAUUUAGUUAUCUAUCUUGUAGGGGAUAUAUUAAUGAAACUAUUGACUUAUACAAUACAGCAUUGUUGUAUACAGUAUGGAUCAAACUAAAAAUUGCUCUGAUAUACCCUUGCCAGGUGUCCACUAUUUGAGCGGACAGUCCACUUUUUUCACAUUAUGUUCACUAUUUUUUUUUCACAAAAUAGUGGACAUUUUUUUAUUCAAAAGCUUUAUGAUGAAAUGGUACAUAAUCUAAAGCUGUACAGUCUAAGAGAAUAAGGAUAGGAGAAUCGCGUUUUGUCUUUUUUUUCAUAAGUUAGAAUGAGACAAAGAUCGAAUAUCCAUUGAACUCGAUUCUCCGAAAAACUUAAUGAUGAGAUUAAAAUAAAAAUAUAUUAUAAAAUUAUGUACAGUUCACAUUUUUAAAAUGUAUUGUAGCUUGUGUUGACUGACCUAAAAUGGCGUCGAGUGAUGAGAGUGAAAGCGGCGAGAUUUCGAAUUCUUUAAAACGAAAGAGAGGAGUGUGCAAAUACACCAAAGACUGGGAAGCUACUUUUCUCUACUCUUUCAGUGAGAAAGUGACUGUAGCUGAAAUGGCUGAAAUUUACCAUGGGAUCAAACACCAUAUUUCUUUCCUGGCUCAAGAUUGCAAUAUUAAGUUAAUGAAGCAAAUUUUUGAUGAUUCAGAAAUUGUAAAAAAGAUGUAUUGUGGAAGAACCAAAUCAUCAGCUAUUAUCAAUGAGGUUUUGUAUCCUUUUUCUAUUGAGUUGGUUCUCAAUGAUCUUAAAACUGGAAUUCCAUUUUCUUUCUCCACUGAUGCAUCAAACAAGGGAAAUCCCAAAUGUAUCCCGUUGUUGCACAAUAUUUUACUUGUGAAGGACUGUGUGUGAAAAUUUUAGACUUUUAUGAGGAUUCUUUCAAAGAUUCUACAUCAAUAAAAAAUCAGCUGUGUCGAGUUCUUAAUGAUAACGAAUUGGAAAUAAUGUUUCAUCUUACUCAACAGAUAAUGCAUCGGUCAAUUAUGGAGUGAACAAAUCUGUUUACCAAAAAUUAUUGCUGGAAAAUGACAAUAUUGUAGCUGCUCAUUCAAUAAUCACAUUUUACACAACAGUGCAAAAAAUGCAUUAAAGCAGUUAUCUUUUGAUACUGAAAAUGUAGUGCUGAAGGUUUUUGCCUAAUUUUCGAAUUCUGCGAAGAAACAAGAGUUGAAAUCAUUUUUUGAGUUUUGCGAGUCAGAAUUCCAUGAAGUUUUGCGCCAUAUUCCAACAUGUUGGUUAAGUUUGUUUAAAGCGGUCAAAAGACUUCUUUUAAACUGGAUACCUCUAAAAUCGUAUUUUAUUUCUCUUGGAUCUGAUGAGUGCCAUAAGGUUAUCUGGAACCUUAUUUCGGAUCAGGAAAAUGAACUCGCAAAGGAUGAUGAACCAACAAUUUCAGAAUUGUAUUUAUAUUUCACGCACUUCUUCAUGUCAAUAAUGCAAGACACCCUACUGAAGCUGAAAAGCAAGAAAAUUCUUGCAUGUGAUCUUCACAUUAUCAUGUGUAAGCUGCGUGAUUGAUUGCAAAAAAAAUACGAUGAGCAGUUUUUUGGAAUGAAAGUUUUAUUUGCCUUACGUGAAAAACAUUUGCCUAAGAAUGCCGUGCAAAAGUUCAAGAAAGAAGCCAUCAACGUGUAUCAAAGAGCCAUUGCGUACCUAGAAAAGUGGUAUAAUUUCACCGAUUCAGUAUAUGAGACGCUAAGUUGUUUCAAUCUAAUUGAUCACAAUAAUCCUCCAACUUUAGAAGAAAUGACAAACAUCUGGUUAUUAUCACCAUGGCAAGAAGAACUUCCACCCAACACUGUCUUCGAUGAAAUUUCUGCUUUAGAAGAAGUUUAUGUUCAUCUGCAGGGCGAUUCAUCCCUUGAUAAGUGGACGUACUUUUUCAAGAAAGAGCCAGCUCCGAGUUUACUGAAACUGUUCCAGUAUUGUGCAUCAAUUCCGGUAUCAAAUGCAAACGUUGAAUGAAUUUUCAGCGUCAUGGGCAAUUUGUGGACUGACGAACGUAACCGACUGCUUGUACCAUCAGUUCGAAGUGAACUUUGUAUAUUUUUUAAUAUUUCUCAACUUUGUACUGAAAUUAAAGAAUUAUUUCUUAAACACAAAGAAUUGAUCAAAGCUGCGCAGUCAAAUAAAAAAUACACACGACAGCAAAGUAAAAUGUAAUUUAAUAUUUUAUAUAUUAUAAUAUAUUUGAUGUUUUGAAUUUUAAGUAAAAUUUUGAAGUGAUUAUUUUAAUACGUGUUAAAAUGUUUGUAAGAAAAUAUAUAAUUUAAUUUUAAAUUUUUUUUUUAUUUUUUUACUACUUAACCCCCCCCCCCCCCCCCGCUUGUCCACUAUUUUUUGGAAAGACCUGGCAACCCUACUCUGAUAACAGUAUUUCUCAUAAACGUUACUAUUUAGAUCCUAACCAUUUAACUGUAUUUAAUUUUAAAUGCUAUUAUAAUUAGAUCUUGAAUAUCCUCAAGAUCAUGGAUCUUCUGGUUUAAUGUUAUCGUUUGCUUGGAUUGUUGCAAUAUUAAUAUACAUUACAUUGCAUGAUUAAGAUGUUUUGUUCAAUGAGAUUGCUGCUCAAAAUGAUGUAGAAAGAUGGCUCAGAAAUUUUGACUAGACAAUGGUAAAUGUAUCUUCUUUCAUUUGCAUUAAAAACAAUUUUGUCAUGGCUGAAAUAAAACAAAUCUAACAUA